rnacentral:rRNA from 1 species
GAUGAACGCUGGCGGCGUGCCUAAUACAUGCAAGUCGAGCGAACAGACGAGGAGCUUGCUCCUCUGACGUUAGCGGCGGACGGGUGAGUAACACGUGGAUAACCUACCUAUAAGACUGGGAUAACUUCGGGAAACCGGAGCUAAUACCGGAUAAUAUAUUGAACCGCAUGGUUCAAUAGUGAAAGACGGUUUUGCUGUCACUUAUAGAUGGAUCCGCGCCGCAUUAGCUAGUUGGUAAGGUAACGGCUUACCAAGGCGACGAUGCGUAGCCGACCUGAGAGGGUGAUCGGCCAAACUGGAACUGAGACACGGUCCAGACUCCUACGGGAGGCAGCAGUAGGGAAUCUUCCGCAAUGGGCGAAAGCCUGACGGAGCAACGCCGCGUGAGUGAUGAAGGUCUUCGGAUAGUAAAACUCUGUUAUUAGGGAAGAACAAAUGUGUAAGUAACUAUGCACGUCUUGACGGUACCUAAUCAGAAAGCCACGGCUAACUACGUG